rnacentral:rRNA from 1 species
GAGGAAUAUUGGUCAAUGGACGCAAGUCUGAACCAGCCAUGCCGCGUGCAGGAAGACGGCUCUAUGAGUUGUAAACUGCUUUUGUACGAGAGUAAACGCUCUUACGUGUAAGAGCCUGAAAGUAUCGUACGGAUAAGGAUCGGCUAACUCCGUGCCAGCAGCCGCGGUAAUACGGAGGAUCCAAGCGUUAUCCGGAUUUAUUGGGUUUAAAGGGUGCGUAGGCGGUUUGAUAAGUUAGAGGUGAAAUACCGGUGCUUAACACCGGAACUGCCUCUAAUACUGUUGAACUAGAGAGUAGUUGCGGUAGGCGGAAUGUAUGGUGUAGCGGUGAAAUGCUUAGAGAUCAUACAGAACACCGAUUGCGAAGGCAGCUUACCAAACUAUAUCUGACGUUGAGGCACGAAAGCGUGGGGAGCAAACAGGAUUAGAUACCCUGGUAGUCCACGCAGUAAACGAUGAUAACUCGCUGUCGGCGAUA